rnacentral:tRNA from 1 species
GGUAGCAUGGCCGAGUGGUCUAAGGCACUGGAUUUUAGGCGCUAGUCCAGGGGCGUGGGCUCGAAUCCCAUGGCUGCCA